AUUGAACGCUGGCGGCAGGCCUAACACAUGCAAGUCGAGCGAGCGGCGGACGGGAGAGUAAUGUAUGGGGACUGCCCGAUAGAGGGGGCUAACUACUGGAAACGGUUGCUAAUACCGCAUACUAUCGGAUAACCCAUAUGGGAUUGUCUAGUAGGUGGGGUAAAGGCUUACCUAGGCGCCGAGCUCUAGCUGGUCUGCGCGGAUGAUCAGCCACACUGGUACUGAGACACGGCCCAGACUCGUACGGAGGCAGCAGUGGGGAAUAUUGCACAAUGGGCGCAAGCCUGAUUCAGCCAUGCCGCGUGUAUUAAGAAGGCCUUAGGGUUGUAAAGUACGUUCAGCGGGGAGGCGUUACCCUCAGAAGAAGCACCGGCUAACUCCGUGCCAGCAGCCGCGGUAAUUC
rnacentral:rRNA from 1 species